AAGGAACUUCAAUCACAAGUGAGUUAACAUCUUGAAUGCAGAAGAGGGAGAGAGAAAUUCAUUCAGUAUGUUGCUGUCAGCUUGGACGCUGCUUGUCAUCACUGUGGCAGGCACCAGCGGUGAUGUUCUGGUGGCGGUCACGAGUGAAGUGUUUGCAACAAAAGGCAGCCAAGUCACACUGUCAUACAUCUACACCAGACAGUCAUCUACUGAUAAUUUAUUCUGGUACAAACAACUUCCUGGACAAGCGCCACACUUCCUGCUUUCCCUCUUGGGAAACGGCAGGCCAUUAAGUGACAUGCCGGGAAUGUCGGUGAGCGUGGAAAGCGACAAAGAGCGAGUUCAUCUGCACAUCGAAGAUGCGUCACUUGAACACUCUGCAGUGUACUACUGUGCCGUGAGGCCCACAGUGACACAUGGGCCACAUUCUCGUUACAAGAACAUUUCCUGCUCCUGAACCCAUCACACUUCCCUCUAGUCAAGGCACAACUUACUUCAAAAGACAAAACCCCAACUCCAAUA